UAUUCUUCGAUCUAUAUUAAUUAUCUUUUGAGAUAUAUUUAAUAAGCUAAAUCAUACGAGUAUUCUAUCUCCUUAAAUUUUGGGACUAGAGUAUACAACAUCAACAUCCCAGUGUAAUCCCACAAUUUCAUAAGUGGAAUUUGAGGAGGAUAGAGUGCCUGCAAACAUUACCCCUAGAGUGAGUAGAUAUUUUUCCUCUGUCCAUUUUACGUGACAUACUUUUUUUUCAAGGGAAAAGAGCUAAAAAUAUCCUCCAUUACAAAUUUGGGUAAAAAAUACCCCUCCCGUCAUUAAAGUUUUCAAAUAUAGCCCUGUUUUAACAGAAAUCCCCAACAUAACCCGAUUUCAUUUUUAAACCCGCUCCGUUUAAACCUGACUGAACUAUAUAAAAAACGCAUAUGAGUUACCCGCUCCUUUACCCAAAGUAGAGAGGCAUUUUUGACCUUUUUCCCCUUUUUCAAUAUGUAUUUCUAUAUUUAAUAACAACAAUUAACUUUUUAGACAUCUCAUUUUACAACUUAUUGAAAUAAUUUGUAGAUGUUAUAGUAUAUUUCAACAGACCACAAAUUUUAAAUUUUUUAUAUUUUACACUCCGUCGGAGUAGUAAUUUAUUGUAAACUAGUUAACUUGUUCGCUCUUUGCGCGGUCUUAAAAAAUAUAUUGGAGGCGAUCUUCUUAUAAAUUAGUCCAUAUCAUGACCAAUCCUUAUAUUAACUUAAAAGUAUUAUCCCUUCUGAUCCAGUCUAGAAUAUACCAUUUCCUUAUUAUUUCAUACAAAGAAAAAUGAAAUGUUUUUAUAUUUGAAAAAAAAAAUAACUUCAAUAUUUCAUCUGCGUAAGCUUUUAAUUCGCUAUUGACCAUCAAAUGAAAUAUGAAUAAUUCAUCUUCCUCUCUCUCUCUCUCUCUAUAGCUUAAAGGAGGGAUGCUUCCGGUUUUGCGGUGUUUGAAAUAAUUUUGUUUUCUCCAUGUUAUGAUAUCUCUAAAGUCAAAAAUUAUAUAUGAGGAACUACUGAACUCAAACCUUUUUUGACUGUUCCUCGAUAUGGUCCAUUUAACAAAAGAUCAUACAUGUUAUGCACGUAGUCUUUUUUAAAAGUCUUCAUCUCUUUCUUAAAUUGUUUGCAAGUUAAACUAUGAAAAAUAACAAAAACAUGCCAAUAGUAAUACAAAGGAGAGAACAACUAACUAUUUUCUAAUCAGAUAAAAAAUGAACCUACAAACUCGUAAUAAAAAAUUGAAAAGCAUAGAUAUCAAUAUUUCAAUAAACAACCUGAUACAAAAUCAUGUAGCCAUUUCUGUAUUAGUCUAGAUAUCGAAGAAUGUGUAGAGUAAUAUCUGAUGAACACAAAUAAGAGGGAAGUAAAUUUUCAUGUCAAGAUAUUCUUUUUUUUAAAGAGCCAUUUCUGAAUUGUUUUGAGCUUUUACCUCAAACUCUUGAAUAAAGGGAAUGCAUCCCAUAAUCUCUCUUGCGUUCGCUCAAAUCAAUAUAUAUCUAUAAAGAUGGGAAUGAGCAAGGUGAUGUGGCAUGUCUCAUAGGCCAGUAUUACCAUUUAUCUUUUUUCUCAUAAUUUUGCAUUUUUUUCACAAAUUUUGUCCUCAAAACCUCCAAAAAGAUUUAAUAUAUCUUUCAUCAUUAUUGGCGUUUAUUCCUUUUUAUGAUAAUCCCUCUCUCUUCCUUCUCUUUAUAUAUUCUUUCACAAUAUACCGAAUGUGAUUUCCCCCCUCAUUUUUCUAGCAUUUACUUCUCAUUAAUAUCCCAUUAAAUAUAUGUUUAACUUUUUUUUUCCAAAAGAAAGAGUGUAACGGCUCAACAAUGAACAUAAUGGUGCAGUUACAUCCUAAAAAUUAUACUAUCUAUUUAAAUUCCAGCUAAUGAAUAUAUGGUGCAAGAUUUUCUUUCAUGCUUCAUAUCUAAAUUCUUAGAGAACCGUGGCUCCUUUCCUGUCGAAGGCUUGAAGGAUUGUUAAGACAAGCAAGGGGAGAGUCAAGAAGAUGGCAUGAGAAAGUGCAACCGUGAGAACUAAAGAGAGCAAGGAAGAAUCUCUUGACAAAUUGCAUAGCAUCUGAGCAGAUUAUACUAAGAUGAGACGACUUUAAUAGCAUAGAAGAAAUUCUAGACAAAUUGCAUAUCAUG